ensembl:lncRNA
CCCCCAGGAUGGAGAACGGCGAUGGAGCCGUGAUGUGCCCGGUGUGGCACUGGUUUGUACUGGUUUGUACUGGUUUGUACUGGGCUGUACUGGUUUGUACUGGGCUGUACUGGUUUGUACUGGGAGCCAUUACUGGUCUGUACUGGUUUAUACUGGGAAUGUUUUUGUAUACUGGGAGCUGUUACUGGUCUGUACUGGUUUAUACUGGGAACCGUUACUGGUCUGUACUGGUUUGUACUGGUCUGUACUGGUUUGUACUGGGGGCUGUUACUGGUCUAUACUGGUUUAUACUGGGAGCUGUUACUGGUUUAUACUGGGAGCCGUUACUGGUCUGUACUGGUUUAUACUGGGGGCUGUUACUGGUCUAUACUGGUUUAUACUGGGAACCAUUACUGGUCUGUACUGGGGGCUGUUACUGGUCUAUACUGGGAGCUGUUACUGGUCUAUACUGGUUUAUACUGGAGUGUUACUGGUGUCAAUAAAGGUGUUGGUGGAGCGGCACUGGUCUGUACUGGUGUGUACUGGUUUGUACUGGUUUGUACUGGUCUGUACUGGUCUGUACUGGUUUGUACUGGUUUGUACUGGUCUGUACUGGGCAGAGGUGGGACAUACCCAGGGAAGGAACUGGGAUGGACUGGGAUGGAACUGGGACAAACUGGGAUGGACUGGGAUGGACUGGGAUGAACUGGGAUGAACUGGGAUGGACUGGGAUGGACUGGGAUGGACUGGGAUGGAACUGGGAUGAACUGGGACAAACUGGGACGAACGGGGACAAACUGGGAUGGACUGGGAUGAACUGGGAUGAACUGGGAUUAACUGGGACAAACUGGGAUGGACUGGGACAAACUGGGAUGAACUGGGAUGAACUGGGAUGGACUGGGGUUAACUGGGAUGGACUGGGAUGGACUGGGAUAAACUGGGAUGAACUGGGAGGGACUGGGAUGAACUGGGAUGGACUGGGAUGGACUGGGAUUAACUGGGAUAAACUGGGAUGGACUGGGAUGAACUGGGAUGGACUGGGAUGAACUGGGACAAACUGGGAUGGACUGGGGGGAACUGGGACGAACUGGGAUGGACUGGGGUUAACUGUGGUUAACUGGGAUGGACUGGGAUGGACUGGGAUGGACUGGGACAAACUGGGAUGGACUGGGAUGGACUGGGAUGAACUGGGAUGGACUGGGGUUAACUGGGAUGGACUGGGAUGGACUGGGAUGGACUGGGAUGGACUGGGAUGAACUGGGAUGGACUGGGAUGGACUGGGACGAACUGGGAUUAACUGGGAC